rnacentral:rRNA from 1 species
CCUACGGGCUGCACCAGUGGGGUAUAUUGGACAAUGGGCGCAAGCCUGAUCCAGCCAUGCCGCGUGAGUGAUGAAGGCCCUAGGGUUGUAAAGCUCUUUCACCGGUGAAGAUAAUGACGGUAACCGGAGAAGAAGCUCUGGCUAACUUCGUGCCAGCAGCCGCGGUAAUACGAAGGGGGCUAGCGUUGUUCGGAAUUACUGGGCGUAAAGCGCACGUAGGCGGGUAUUUAAGUCAGGGGUGAAAUCCCAGAGCUCAACUCUGGAACUGCCUUUGAUACUGGGUACCUAGAGUAUGGAAGAGGUAAGUGGAAUUCCGAGUGUAGAGGUGAAAUUCGUAGAUAUUCGGAGGAACACCAGUGGCGAAGGCGGCUUACUGGUCCAUUACUGACGCUGAGGUGCGAAAGCGUGGGGAGCAAACAGGAUUAGAUACCCGUGUAGUC